GAAUAUAAGGGCCAUCUGGCUGCAAUGUCUUAUAUCCCAUGGGUCAGCAGAGUUGGUUUGGAUGAUUUAGCUGCCUAGGCAGGUGUCCACUUUCUCCCUGACCACUCCAGGGGCAUCUUUUCUGAAACUUCGUGUUCCAUUGGAGAGGACCUUCCCAGAAUAGAGGAAGACCAGUCUUUGUUUGAGGGCAUGCAAGUAGCAUACCUCUAAAGAGCUCUCAAGAAAGUCCUCACUCACCUAUGUCUAUCAAGUUUCCCUUUAACAAGUUUAUGUUUUCAGGUCUAACAUGAAAGUUUUUCAUCCAUUUUGAGUU
ensembl:misc_RNA predicted gene, 23894